AAACUUGUCCGGACUACUCCUCAUAAACUAUUGGUGCAAUUUCAUCCAAACUUUACAGGAAUAAUCAGUACCAAGGGUAGUUGUGCAUAUUGUCAGCAUUUUCCGGUUCAAUGAUUUUUGGCAGAGUUAUGGCCCUUUAAUAAUUAUGUCUCCCCCACCUCGGGGGGAGACAUAUUGUUUUUGCCCUGUCCGUCCGUCAGUCCGUCCGUCAGUCCGUCCGUCCGUCAGUCCGUCCGUCCGUCCGUCCGUCCAUUCUUCGUUUCCGGACGAUAACUAGAGUUCCUUUUGACCUACAGCUCUCAAACUUCAUAGGAUGAAUGGUCUUAUUGAGCAGAUGAUCCCUAUUGUUUUUGGGGUCAGUAGGUCAAAGGUCAAGGUCACAGUGACCGUUGGUCAAUUUCUCGUUUCCGGACGAUAACUAGAGUUCCUUUUGACCUACAGCUCUCAAACUUCAUAGGAUGAAUGGUCUUAUUGAGCAGAUGAUCCCUAUUGUUUUUGGGGUCAGUAGUUCAAAGGUCAAGGUCACAGUGACCGUUGGUCAAUUUCUCGUUUCCGGAUGAUAACUAGAGUUCCUUUUGACCUACAGCCCUCAAACUUCAUAGGAUGAUUGGUCUUAUAGAGCAGAUGAUCCCUAUUGUUUUUGGGGUCAGUAGGUCAAAGGUCAAGGUCACAGUGACCGUUGGUCAAUUUCUCAUUUCCGGAUGAUAACUAGAGUUCCUUUUGACCUACAACCCUCAAACUUCAUAGGAUGAUUGGUCUUAUUAAUCAAAUGAUCCCUAUUGUUUUAAUGGUCAGUAGGUCAAAGGUCAAGGUCACAGCGACCGUUGGUUAAUUUCUCCUUUCCGGAUGAUAACUAGAGUUCCUUUAGACCUACAACCCUCAAACUUCAUAGGAUGAUUGGUCUUAUUGAGCAGAUGAUCCCUCUUGUUUAUGGGGUCAGUAGGUCAAAGGUUAAGGUCACAGUGACCAUUGGUCAUUUUCUCAUUUCCGGAUGAUAACUAGAGUUCUUAUCAGUGAGGACAUUUAACUAUUAUUGAUAUAUCAGUGAUAUAUCAGUUGUCUGGUUUUAUAUACUCUGUUCUUUUAUCUCCAUUUCCAUUCCUGUUUCCAUUCACAGUUAUUCUCAGCAGUGGGGGAGACAUGCGCUUUUU